CCUACGGGGGGCAGCAGUGAGGAAUAUUGGUCAAUGGGCGCGAGCCUGAACCAGCCAAGUAGCGUGAAGGAUGACUGCCCUACGGGUUGUAAACUUCUUUUAUAAAGGAGUAAAGUGCGGCACGUGUGCCUUUUUGUAUGUACUUUAUGAAUAAGGAUCGGCUAACUCCGUGCCAGCAGCCGCGGUAAUACGGAGGAUCCGGGCGUUAUCCGGAUUUAUUGGGUUUAAAGGGGGCGUAGAUGGGUUGUUAAGUCUGUUGUGAAAGUUUGCGGCUCAACCGUAAAAUUGCAAUUGAUACUGGAAGGCUAGAGUACAGUUGAGGUAGGCGGAAUACGUGAUGUAGCGGUGAAA
rnacentral:rRNA from 1 species